UCGGGGAUCGUCUAAUGGUAGGACUGCGGAUUCUGGUUCCGCCUAUCGGGGUUCGAAUCCCUGUCCCCGAACUA
rnacentral:tRNA from 1 species